CGCGUAGGGCGCAAGCGUUGUCCGGAAUUAUUGGGCGUAAAGAGCUCGUAGGCGGUCUGUUGCGUCCGCUGUGAAAACUCGGGGCUUAACCCCGAGCCUGCAGUGGAUACGGGCAGACUAGAGGUAGGUAGGGGAGAAUGGAAUUCCCGGUGUAGCGGUGAAAUGCGCAGAUAUCUGGAGGAACACCGGUGGCGAAGGCGGCAUCCUGGACCAACACUGACGCUGAGGAGCGAAAGCCAGGGGAGCAAACGGG
rnacentral:rRNA from 1 species